GACGAACGCUGGCGGCGUGCUUAACACAUGCAAGUCGAACGGAAAGGCCCUGCUUUUGUGGGGUGCUCGAGUGGCGAACGGGUGAGUAACACGUGAGUAACCUGCCCUUGACUUUGGGAUAACUUCAGGAAACUGGGGCUAAUACCGGAUAGGAGCUCCUGCUGCCUGGUGGGGGUUGGAAAGUUUCGGCGGUUGGGGAUGGACUCGCGGCUUAUCAGCUUGUUGGUGGGGUAGUGGCUUACCAAGGCUUUGACGGGUAGCCGGCCUGAGAGGGUGACCGGCCACAGUGGGACUGAGAUGCGGCCCAGACUCCUACGGGAGGCAGCAGUGGGGAAUAUUGCACAAUGGGCGGAAGCCUGAUGCAGCAACGCCGCGUGCGGGAUGACGGCCUUCGGGUUGUAAACCGCUUUCGCCUGUGACGAAGCGUGAGUGACGGUAAUGGGUAAAGAAGCACCGGCUAACUACGUG
rnacentral:rRNA from 1 species